UUACUUACCUGGACGGGGUCAAUAGGCGAUCAAUAAGACCUAUGGCCUAUGCUAGUGACCUCCAUUGCACUUUGGAGGGGCGCCCGCGUAAGGUCGGCCCAAGAGGUCGAGCCUGUGUCAUAAUUUGUGAUAGUGGGGGCCUGUGUUCGCGCGGCCCCUGU
rfam:Erythranthe guttata cultivar DTN x IM62 scaffold_172_contig_1, whole genome shotgun sequence.